GACGGAGGAUGCAAGCGUUAUCCGGAAUGAUUGGGCGUAAAGCGUCCGCAGGUGGCCGUUCAAGUCUGCUGUCAAAGACCGGGGCUUAACUUCGGAAAGGCAGUGGAAACUGAACAGCUAGAGUAUGGUAGGGGCAGAGGGAAUUCCUGGUGUAGCGGUGAAAUGCGUAGAGAUCGGGAAGAACAUCGGUGGCGAAGGCGCUCUACUGGACCACAACUGACACUCAGGGACGAAAGCUAGGGGAGCGAAUGGG
rnacentral:rRNA from 1 species